rnacentral:lncRNA from 1 species
GGCUUUAAUUUUUAUUGAAAUACAGUUGUGAUAUAUGGGGGUUUUGAUAAAAGGGUUUCACUUAAAAAAGAUGAGAUAAAGAAAGGUUUGAAAACAGGUAGUCCUACAGAGUCAUGUUCCCUCCCGGUUCCGGAGUUAUUUCACCCGCUGGGGCCCCUAGGCCUCCAUGCCCCCGGUGAUCCGCCCCACUGACUAACCAGCAGCGCGAUGCAGACACUGUGCUGGGAGAUGUCCCAGGUGUAUCUG